CUGACAGCUCAGUAUCUGUAGCCGGGAGAAACGUAUAAAGAAAGGGAAUCAGAUGACAUUAAUAAUCGGGUUUGAAUUCUGUAUUGAUUUUUGGAGGGGAAGAAAGUGCUUUUUUCUUUCCUCACCUGAAAUGCUAAUACCUUCUUCUUUCUGGGAAUAUUAAUAACUUAGCCAUUGGGUCUCUCUAACUGAAAUGCUCCUUUAUUCCUCCCGCUACCCCGGUGCUGCGGGGAUAAUGACGACACUUUUAGCUCCUAUUUCCGAGCAGCUUCCUUCCACGCGACGUUCUGGCCGUCUAUUGCAUUGUUUGGGAAGAAAAGACACCCGGUGUUUACACAAUGGUCUGCACGCAGCGUUUGGUGCUGCUCGCUCUGCCUCCUGCGCUGAUUGCGCUGGGGGAUGUUUAUUUAAGCCCUGGAGUAUAACUCACCGGUGCUAGGGAAGAAAACAGUUGCGCUUAUCUCAAGAGCGGCUCGGUGUAAAGCACUAUAAUUAGCCGGGAGAGCUAGAGAACCGCCUGGAGAAGUCCUCCCAAUUUUCCAGGCUACAGUUUGGGAGUUGUCCUGGUGUGGCGAGGUUGGUUUCUUUCCCUUUUCUUUCCCUCUUUUGAGAAUACUGCAGAUGUCAACUCCGCAGUGGCCCACGGAACACUACAGGUUUUGAUAUUUAGAUGAGUCUAUUAAACUUUAAAAUACAAGGUGAAAUUCAAUAUUUAUAGUCCUUGUCUAUUUAUAUAUCACAGUUGUCUUUCACUGCACCAUGCAAGUACUCUGGUGCCCAGUUUUGCACCGAACUUUCCUGUAUUAAUCAUGAUAAUUAUUUGUCAUUUUUCUUUGCAGCCUGCCUGCUCUGCUCUGGUCAGCUUUGUGCCAGUUCCAAUCUGUAUUCCCUAGAAAGCAGUCAUAAAACAAAACAAAACAAAAAACCAACAAAAAAAACCCACAAAAAAUCCCACCAAAACCAAAAAACAACAAAACAACUUAAUAACCUGAAAUGCUAAAAGCUGACGUUACAUCUUUCUGCAGCGUUCAUGUCUUGUUUCAGUUGCAAUCUACAAACAGGGGCCCUUUGUGGAUAAGAAACUCAACACAAUUAUAUUUCGUCUCUAAUUGUUGGUGCCCGCACAGAAACAUGCAAUAAGCCCCACAAUGAUUUAAAAAUCACCUUUGCGGCCCUUGCACACAAAAAACGUAACACGGUUCAAAUCCAAGCAAAGACGUCUAAUGCUGUGGGCUAUAUCCUUAAGCAUUUGGAAAAUGCAAGUCUUUGCUGUGCAAUAAAAAUUGAUCCUUGUCAAAGCCCUGAUUCCUGUACAAAGCAGUUAACAGCUUUCGCGAAAGAGAAACACAUGCUGCCUUCUCCAAAGUUUGAGCAACUAAACCCAUCGCGAUCAAUAGGAAACGCUGGAGAGUUCCCCUCUUGUGGGAGACAGCCCGCACACCCAGACGAGUGGGGAUUUUGCAGCCAAAGCCCGACCAAGUCUAUCUCCGAGAGUUGUGUGUUUCUUUCCCGAGAACCCGGAGCCAACGUUCAUACAAGUUUUAUCGUAAAAGCAUGAAACGAGAAGGAAACGCUGUGGUGCUGGAACAGGCCACAGCAGGUAAACCAGAGAGCCUCUUCAGGACUAACGCUUUGAUGGACGUCUUCAGGGACAUGAUCUAGAGGCAGUUAAUGCAGCUACACUUUUACUAUCUGCAUUUUCAUCGCCUCCUCCUUUGGAGGGGUUAUUGCCACUCCUGGAAAUAUUUCAGCGACGGAAUUUGCUUAUGGGCUAAACAGACUUUAGCGAGCUCUUUCUAGUCGACUUCGCUUUGUUUUCACGUUACAGAUUUAAAGCAACCUUGACACCGCCUGACAAACGCUGUGAAGCUCUACACGUUGCCCAUUUGGGAUCUGACAUGGAACCGAGGGCAGCCUACAACAUUUUCAAGUAGAUUAGCUCCCAUAAAGUCGCUAUCGACAGUAAAUACGACUAUGUUUCCUGAGCCCGUCUGAGGUGUAAUUGCAUCUCCUGCACUCUGAAUCGAGGGACAGCGAGCUGACACUGCCGACCUGCACAGACCUACGCAAUGGCUUGUGAUCGGCAGAGCUAUGAUGACAAACAUCACACUUGCAUAAGAAGGCGCCGCUAAUUAAUUGACUCAGAUUACAACUGCACGUAAAAUCAGGCGUUCAAAGCUAUCCCUCCGAAUGCUUUCAUUCUCCAAGUCUUCAAUCCCCUUGGCAAACAAUCUAGAUUAAAGCAGAAAGGCCUCCCAUGCUCAUUCUGUUCUUCGUAUUUAUUAACUUUUCACACUUAAGAACUGGAGCCAACACACGCGCGCUCUCUCUUCCCACCCCCUCCCCAAAACUUUUCAGCAAGAGAAGCAAACGCUGCGACCUGGGCAGCUGCUGGAUGGCUGAACGGACCCUACAACAUGCCCACGUUUACCUGCUCGGUGCAGAGCAUCGCAACUACGCUUUCACCAGCAAAGCAAAGGUUGGUAAGAGGUUUCUCCUUCCAGCCCUGUACCCCCAGUGCCGCAGACUCGGCGGCAUUCAAACGCCACCGCCUUUGAGCUCUCUGGCAGCUGACAGCUUGAACAUACUCCCCUGCGAAGAUAAAACUUUCCUACUUACAAGGUCAAAUUCUAUGCCUGUUAAAGUUUGCCUUAAAAUCCAGAAAGUUUGACUCGAUACCUUACCUUAGCGCUCGCUGAAUAUCAUAUCCACACCCCCUUCCCAAGAAAUAACACACAUGUUAAAAUACAUUUGCCCUCUGUCCUAGGUAAAGAUUGCACAAAGCCAAAUGAUUCAUCACAGAUAGUUUCUCUUCCCUCCAGCAGUUCGUUUUCAGCUGCCUUGCUGCUAAAGCAGGCUCCGAAGGGGAGGGGGGGAUAAACCCCACCGCUCCCCCCUCCCCCCGUUUCCGUAGAGAGAGAGACACAGACACACAGACACACUCACACAGACACACACAGACACACACACACACACAAACAUCGCCACCAAAACGAGGAGAAAAUGUUUACCUGCGAUCACGCCAGGCGUCGGCUAAAGCCUCGCAGCGAUGGCUGUGCCAUGGCAGGGCUUCGCUCCUGUCGGCUGCGCGGGCGGGCUCCGCGGGGAGCUGCGCGGAGCAGCGCGGGCAUUUCUCGGCGCGCAGUACCUGCGCGGCGCCGCCGGUCCCCAGGCGCCACAGUCACUUCACUAACCCCUGCACCAGAGUGACGUUCAAGUGAACAGCUCCACUGAUCACACUCUUUCCUACUGAUUAACACUUUCCAACGCGACCAGGCACUCCGCUUCCAACUUUUCCCGUUUUAAACCAGAAGCAGCCAGCACCGCUUGCUCCCGCGGGUUAUAAACGCCGUCUGGGGCGUGGGGGACACCAUAAUUAAUAGCAGGACUGCCAGAGGGCCCUGUUACCUGGUUGAGUACCUGAUAACAUCACAGGGUAGAAGACACACAGAGAGCUUCUGUGACCUUAUCCCCGGUGUGAUCUUGUCCAGU